rnacentral:rRNA from 1 species
UACACGCUGUGACUAGCAUAUCAAUAAGCGGAGGAAAAGAAACUAACAAGGAUUCCCCUAGUAACGGCGAGUGAAGCGGGAAGAGCUCAAAUUUGAAAUCUUAAAGGGUUUCCCUUUACGAAUUGUAGUUUAAAGAAGUGUUUUCUGUUGAGGUUUUGGUAAAAGUUCUUUGGAAUAGGACAUCAUAGAGGGUGAGAAUCCCGUAUUUGACCUUUACUUUCAACUCUGUGAUACACUUUCAAAGAGUCGGAUUGUUUGGGAAUGCAGUCCAAAAUGGGUGGUAAAUUUCAUCUAAAGCUAAAUAUUGGCGAGAGACCGAUAGCGAACAAGUACCGUGAGGGAAAGAUGAAAAAGAACUUUGAAAAGAGAGUUAAACAGUACGUGAAAUUGUCAAAAGGGAAGCGUUUGACACCAGUGUUGUUUUUCUGAAAAUCAAUUAAAGAACUGUUUAUGCUAAGCUUGUUUAGACUUUAUCAGCUAACUGUUUAGUUUUGAGCUUUUCUUUAAUGCACUUUUCAGUUAACAAGUCAACAUCAAUUUCUUUUGCUGUAAAAAAGCUUGAGGAAGGUGGCUUGAGAUUCGUCUUAAGUGUUUAUAGCCUCUUGCCUAUGCAGUCGGAGAGAUUGAGGUCUGCAGCGUAGAUCCUUCGGGGCUAAAUGCAUUUGUGCUAAGUUAUAGCAUUUUAUAGACAACUUGUUGACUAUGAUUUGUCUUGUAGCUUACUCGCUUAUGUUAUUUUACCUACGCUUAGGAUGUUGAGUCGUAGAGCACGCAG